rnacentral:lncRNA from 1 species
CAUUGACUUCCCUAGGACUUGCUGAAUGAGAAUCAACUUGUUCUUGUGAUCUACAAAAGUACUAGAGGGAUCCAUUGGAGAAACUGAUUUUUUCAUGUGAAGAUAAAGGAUUGACUUCCAACAAAAACCGGAGUGGGGAGAGUUCUAGAGAAACAGGUGAAGAUCCAAGGCAAAACGAUGACUGCAAAUUGUGAAUCAAUGGCUAAGUCUACCAUGU